UGGAAAGCCCAACAGAACUCGUGUGAUCUGGGGAAAGGUGACCAGAGCUCAUGGAAACAGUGGAAUGGUCCGUGCUAAGUUCCGCUCUAACCUCCCAGCUAAAGCCAUUGGGCACAGAAUCCGUGUGAUGCUUUACCCAUCAAGGAUCUAAAUGUUAA